UGAACCUUUGUGUGUGUGUGUGUGUGUGUUUUUGUGUGUGUGAGGGAGAGAGACCCAAGUGCUACUGUGGCCAAGAACUGGAGCAGUUAAUUGGGAAACCCUUGAAGUUGUAUGAUCCAUUCAGAGGUCGACAUAUUCCACUCGCUUUCACUAAGGUUAUCAGAUGACGGAUUUCCAGCCAACAUCAUGAAGAACAUUCAGCAGCGUUCGCUUUGGGGACUGGUCACUGCCGCGUGAAAUUACCCCCGGGUGAAGACCUUGUUGAUGGCAGAGCAUGAAUAUUCAGGCUGACUGGCAAACUUGACUUACAGGAACACGUGGGGAGAUCACAAGGAGAGUGUAGGAGAGGAUUCACAAGGAGAUCGCUGGAAGAAUCACAAGAAGUACUGUACGUUGAACUAUCGCUAGGAGAAUCUUAGGGGCUAAUGGAGUGCUGAUUGGCGUGCUGAUGGGGAACUGGUGCAGGUGAUCAGUAUUCGGGUGAGAGUGAGCGUUGGGUAUGUGAGACAGUGGAGACUGGUGAAACUGUGACAAGGAUAUGGUACAUGUAUACAUAAGGGGCCAUUUACACGACACCGUUUUAACUAAAAACUGAAAACUUUUUAUGUGUUUUGGCCCUUUGUUUACUGAAAAUGCAAACUUUUUAAAACGGGUUUAAAAGUGCACGUUUUUUUAAAUGAUAGGCUACCGUUAUUGUCUCUACAAAAUACAACAACUACAAAAUGUGAAAACUGUGAUGUCAUGUGCGUGUAUAUUACGUGUAGGCGCAUAGUGUUUCUUUACAAAGUGACAUCGCCAACUACUGGCCUGGCAGCAUAAAACAGCAUUUUUAGUCGUUUCCGCAGAUCCUUGUUAAUGGGGAUCGUUUUGACAACAUUGUCUUCUGUACGUGGAAAAAGCAAAGGAAAAAGUUUUCCAUUUUUAAUACAUCGUUGUUGUGUAAACAUACCCUAAGUUUAAUUGACAAGAGUACCAUUGCAGAUCUGAAUUUCAGAUGAGGUAAAAACUAAAUUUAUAUUACAUUAUCCACAUAUCCAGGUAUAACAUAUAUCUUACCACUAUGAAAAAUAUCUAAAAUAAAAAAAGCAACUGGUUGCCAGCCAAUCGCCUUAAAAACGUGAUGACGUGCAGGAUGGCAUAUUGGUGACUGAAUCAUUUACAACUAAUAACCUUGUAUUUCAUUAGGUAAUAUAACAUUAAUAUACGGUGAAUGUUAUUUCACCAAGUACAAUAAGUUCCUAGAUCAACAUCUUGGAAAAACAUUCCAAUCAACCAAUCAGAUUUGAGGUUUACAGUUUAAAGUUUGUCAAGUUUAGGCUUACAACCAGGGUUAGGUGCUUCUAUCAUUUCCCUCUGAUUUCAGGUAUAAGUUAUGGGUAGGGUUAGGUUGAGGGGUAGGGAUUGGGUUAGGACUAAAAUUUUCAGACAGGAAUGUUAUUCCAGGAUCAACCAAAUUUGUUGAUCCAGGAACAUGUCUUACUUGGCAAAAUCAUGGUGACAGUUAAUAUAUCAAGCUACACUGUAAAAAAUUAUUUUCAUGAUUUGAUCACAACUUUUUUUUCUUAAGUCAAACCAACUUAGAUAAUUAACGUGGUUCAGAAAAUAUAAUAUUUUGAGUUUCCCAAUCUCCUUUAGUGUAUUAACUCAAAUUUUUAAUUUCAAUGAACUCAAAAUUAUAAGGCAAGCAGGUAACUUACUUUUUUAAGUUAAACCAACCAUACAUUUUUUACACUGUACUUGAACUUGAAAAAUGUACUGAUAAACAUAAUAAUACAGGUGGUCUAAUAAAAAUAAAUAAUUAAAUAAAUAAAUAAAAAAGGAAAUCAGAGUUUAUCAUAAAUAUCCUGUGCAUAAAACAUGGCAAAUUUUAGAUUUUCAAUUCAAUUAGAUGGCGUGCAGGGUCAUACACAUAAAGACACAAUCAGGGUAACACACAUAAGAAAAAACAAAACUAUUUAAACAAAAUAUAAAGACAUGAUCUGUCACACAGGGACUACUGCAAAUGUCCUUUUACCUUUUUUCACUGUAAAUUCUAUAAUAAUUCAUAGUUUUUACUUGCAAGAACCAUAAAUUUGACAGUAGUUUCCUGUAAAAGUACAUAUUAUUUGAUGUUAAACCAUUUACAAUUGUUAACCUUAUGUGGUAAAGUAACCCACAGUUAUGCAAAGGUUUUUACUGUAGCAUUUUUACAAAAUUUUCUGUAAAAAUUACAAACUUUUUUUCCACCCUCAUACAAGAGUUGGUCACAUGCAAGGCUACCAAGGGUUGAUCAGAAUUAAAUGAAUUGUUGAGAUAUAAUCAGAAGCAAUUUUAUUAUGAGCCAUUGAGUGCUGUAUAGGUGCACUUUUUUCAUGUCCUCUUGACCACACACACAAAAGACACAUUGCCUGCAUGGCCCUCCCUCUGUAGGGCCCAUAAUUAUGCUGAUCAGAACAGCCACGGCCCUCGAACAACAUCACUCUAAUGAAAGCUCGCUAAUCCUUAAUGAGUCGCUAUGUCUUGUGAUAAAUUUCAUAAUUAUUCAACCCAGCGCGACGGGAGACGAAAAUUCAUCAGUCAAAGCAAAUUAGCCCGGCUCCAUUAUAGUGCAGCGUCUUGUAGAGACGUUCACUUUAUUAGGCCUCUACAGCCAUCGCAGUAAUUGGGAGCAUAUUUCACUUGGCUGUAGCCCCACUUCAUUCAAGGACUGCUUUUAUCCUUUUAUUUACAUGGACUCCCUUUCUAAAAAUUUUUGCAGCUCAUACCUGCAAGAAUCUGAGUAUUUCACAGUUUUUUAGAAGAGAAAAAACAGCUAAAGCUUGUAGAUCAGCAGGGUAACCUUGGUUUGAAGCCUUACUUGGAUAUCACAUUUUGGUUAUGUUCCCAUAGUAUGUAUUUAUAGACUGGUGCAGAAAGACCUUAAUCUGAAAUAUAUACAAUUAAUGAAUGAAUGGAUGAAUGAAUGAAGUUCACCUUGGUAUAAUUUGAAGUGAAUUGUACUAUACUAUUUAGUGUUUCAUUUUUUAAAUCAGUUCAAAUCAAACUUAAAACCCAAUAAUAAUAGCAUAAUAGCAAUGUAAAAUGAGAAUAAAAAUUCAUUUUUUUCCUUAUGUUCUAUUUGGGGUUGAAUACCCCAAAGACCUUUACAUUUCUCCAAAAAAAAAAAAAAAAAAAAAAAGUAUCAGUAUCACUUUAAAGUAUCAGUUUCCUGUAUGACAUUUCCAAAUUUUAUUUUAUUUUUCGUAUGCUAAGAUAGUGUGAUUGGUGUACACACUAUAGUAAUGCACUCCAGUAAGUUCUUUUCUAUAUUGUAUUUUUUAUAGUUUUGGGGUCAAACUGAAAAUAAAAAUAAUUAAAAAUAAUUAAAAUAAAUUAAAAUGAAUAUAUUUUAAUAAUAUAAUAUUUAAAAUAAAUUAAAUAAUAAAUUAAAUUAAAUAUUUUAAUAAUAUAAAUAAUAUUAAAUAACCUUUAUUUUAAUAUAAUAUUGAAAGUAUUAUAGGCUAUAAUUAGCUAUAAUUUUCCACAUGCAUCACUGAGGUCUCUGGACCCCAAACAUAAACACAAACAUAAAGUGAAUUCAGUCUCGACAGUCAAAGUCAAUCUUGACAGAACAUUAGGGUUUAAAAAUAAUCUAAAACAAGCUCAAAGUAUCAAGUCACAAGUAUUAUCCAAGGCUAUUCUCUUGCUUUUCAUGUAAGACAUCUUCAACAGUCCUCACCUCUCAUCCACUCUAAUUACCAUUCUUUCUGUCAUUAGGAGCUUCUACCUCAGGAAAAGAUGAGAAAAUGUGAUUUCCCCAGUUCUCUAAUGCUGAUUAAAAUGAGGACAGUAUGAAAGAGGGUAUUGUCUCAUUGUGUGUGCAUGUGGGGUGAGGGGGGUUAGCUGCAAGCGUAUGUGUCUGUAGAUCAGUGGCUGCAACAGGAGGGAUAAUUUCACCAGGAUGAUGGACAUUAGGGCGCCCCUCACACACACCAGCCUUGUUUGUUCCUUGACUGCCUAAGGGAGUGUGCUCGGCGGGAUUCCUCUCCCACUCAUGCACACAACCUGCAGACAUGUCAAACAAAUAGAACCGGACUUUCUGAGUCACUCACACAUUAGUCCAUAAAUCACUAGAAUAUAACUCAUAUUUACACAAAAAAGCCCUUUCUGUCCUUUCAGAGUCAGUACUAUCAUGUUGCUCAGGU